CCUACGGGAGGCAGCAGUGGGGAAUUUUGGACAAUGGGCGCAAGCCUGAUCCAGCAAUGCCGCGUGCAGGAAGAAGGCCUUCGGGUUGUAAACUGCUUUUGUACGGAACGAAAAGGCUCUGGUUAAUACCUGGGGCUCAUGACGGUACCGUAAGAAUAAGCACCGGCUAACUACGUGCCAGCAGCCGCGAUAAA
rnacentral:rRNA from 1 species